CAGGGACAGAUCAAAUAGGACUGCUCCGUGGUCAGAGGGAUGAGAAAGCAUGAGUGUGUGGGGGAGGAUAACACAGUUAAACCUGGCAGAAGACCAAGACAAAGGCUUUCAGCACUGGCAGAAAUCCACAGAUAUGUUCACCUUGUUCUUUGUUCCCUGCCAGACCACCCACAGGAGCAGCUGCCAUCAUGCCUGUUCACUGCGCAGAUCUGCAGUCUACUCGUGAUUUUAACUUAUAUGGCCAAAAUUAUGUGCACAUCUGAUCCUCACACUGAUAUGAGCUUUUUGGACAAGCAAAAUACAUGGUUUCAAAAAUAGAGUUGAUUUAUGUCUGUAGCAGCCUCCAUAUCUGGGAAGACCUUUCGCAAGACUCCGGAGUCUUUGUGGGACAUUUUUUGCCUAUUGAAUCAAAAGAGAUUUCUUGAGAUCAGGCACUGAUAUUGGGCAAGAGAGACUGACUCAUGUUCAGACAUGUUUAGUGAUGUUGAGGUCAGGGCUCUCUGUGCAGACCUCUGGAGUUCCUCUACACACAACUCAAAUAAAGUUUUUAUGGACCUGGAAAAAAGGCCCUUGCCCAAACGUUUGCCACAGUUUGAAGCAUAUAGUUGUUAAUAAUGUUUGUGUGCUGUAGCAUUAAUAUUACCCUUCACUGGAACUAAGGGGCCUGCCCACCCCUGGAAAGAGCCCCACUGCAAUAUCCCUCCUCCACUAAACUGUUCUGUAGGAACUGUAAAUUCCAUUACGUGUUGUUGUCCUGGCAUCCGCCAAACCCUGUUUCACCCAUCAGACUGUCAGACAGUGAAAGGUAUUUCACAAUUUUAGCAAACCCUUCCUCACUGCUGCAUAGCGUAGUGACAGUGUCCUGUACACUGCCCCACCUUAGAACGCGGCAUUGCACGUAGUGAUUAGGCCAAGGAAAUCCAUUUACAAAGCAGCUUGGAACUCUCUCAGAAGUGAUGCAUCAGGUACACUUCAGUACUCAGCAGAUGAAACUACUGACAUGACUUUGGUGUUCACUUUGGCCAUAGCGUACAUACACGGGACAUCCUUAAUAGUGUGAAGAUAGUUUUCUGUUCAUGAGCAAUUUCCAGAAUUUAAUGUGUCAUCUGUUUCGUGAGCAACAUAUGGGAAAACAAUAACAUCUGCAGCUGGCCACGUGGACUUUAAAUGCCAAGAAUUCAAUCUUUCCCAAACCAGUCUUGGUGGACUCACUGUGGAAACAGUGGCCCCUAUAAAGAUACAUAGUACAGGCAAAGACCUACCAAAAAAAUGCAGCUAAUAUCCUAAGGGUAGAACCCAAGUGUUUCAACAACGCAUAUUUCACAAGUGAUUAUUGGUCAUUCCUUGUACACUUCAAUAUUUCUGCAGAUAUGGCAAGGAUUUGGCCUGUGCAGGUGAGAGACUCAAGGUCUGUCUUAUAAAAGCCGCGAUCGCACAGCUGGGGUUGGUUUUGGACACAUGGUCGGCACAGAAUGGAGAUUCUCCCACUAGCCCUGUGGACUAUGUGAAACAUUCCUGUAGGAAACCUGUUUCACACAAAAUUAACUGUAUUACUCCGCAAAGAGAGCAAGAGAAGCAAAAAAGCAGAGGUGAGUUAGCUCAGAGGACCACAGCUGCCCUGUGAGCAGGUACCACAGACUCUCUCUCUUCCUCUGUAUGCCAGAUACUGGCCUCUGCAUUCGCCUGAAGAGCCCUGAGCACAUGUCUAAAUUCUGCAUAGCAACCAAGCUCAGUCCUGUCAAAUCUGUAACAGCUUCCUCUGCUGAUGUGGACAACUACACUUACAAAUGGAAAUGCAUAGAAUUAAAAAAAAAAAAAAACAAGGAAAGCAAAGGAAGUAGUUACCAACUUCAGCUUGGACUGGCGUGUCUGCUAUUACAGCUAAACUCUCAAACCUGGAGGUGACUCUUAAUAUAGAGAAAAUAAAAGCUUAACGUUUCCCAUGAGACAUGUCAUUAGACCUAAAUGUAUUUUCUCAUGACUUCUAUGGCAGCCUCCUACUUGAGUGUUAGAUGUGGGAGGGUUACAGGUCACAGGUCAUAUCUGCAGAAUAUAUUUGUAUCCACACAAUGCAUACGCGUAACUACACAGUAUCUACACAGUAACUCUGUUGGGAUCAUAAUUUUUUGAUUCCACUGCCAUUUUGAUUCUGACUUAGUAUUUCCUCCUCUGGAAAGGUCGUGAGUCAUUGUAAAGAUAAGCAAGAACAAUACACAAACACGAACGUGAACACUGAUUAUUCAUUUUAGGAGAUAAUUAAAGAGAGGAGAUUAUUACAUUUAGGAGAUUAAUAAACAGGAGAUUAUUAAACAUAACACUGGGUGGCCCGAGUGCCGAAGGGCGAGGGGCAGGACGCACAGGCUCCAACGACGUGGACGAACAUUUAUUAACACAUAAAGACAACGGCACUCACACGUUACAAACAAAGAACAUGAACAUGAAACGAUUAACACUAAAUGAACACAAUAAACACGUAUACAUCUAACAAUGACGAGUAUAACUUUUAACAUUACCAUUGACAACACACCACAUUAACGUGUUACAUCAACAAUGACCAACUCUCUGCACACUUUGACACGGGUUUAAAUAC